AAAGAAAACAACAGAAGGCUUAACAUGCAACUCUAGGAAUGCCAGGUAUGUAGUCAUAAAAUCGAAUAAUUUCAGAGCAAGGAGAGCCUCAGAUGAGCCGCUAAUCAUCUCCAUGGCCUGAAACAAAGGAGCCAUGUUAGGACACAACAAGAAAAUGGUCCAUCAAGCCAGGGAAAUAGGUCUCACCAGACACCAACCCUGUUGGCUCUUCCAACUUGGACUUCCAGCCUCCAGAACGCGAAGAGAUCUGAAGAGUCCGUUCCUCUGAACAUCAGUUUUUCAUCUAUAAAAAGAGAAUGAAAGUACAUGGUCUGGCCACCUCCCAGGAUUGUUAUAAGGAUCAAAUGAGAUCAUAAUCUAUGUGAAAGUACUGUUGGUGCCGGUGAUGUUAUUUAACACUCAGCUGGACUAUUUUGUUGAUGAGGAGACUGAAAUUCAGGGAGGCGACCUCAGCUGCAGCAAAGAAAUAAACGGCAGAAGUGGGAUUUACAGAAGGGCCGUGUGACGCUCAGAGUCCAUGGUCAUGCCAGCGCUGCGACACAGUCCUAGCCCUGGAGGAUGAGCAGUCCUCUUCUCGAUCUACACAAGACAUUACUACAGCGUCUUCAUGCACCCCAAGCCAUGAACACCACCACCCCCAAAGUUAGGUCUGUCCUGUGCCAUAACUUUGCCCUGCCUCCUCUUCUCUGCCUUAUUCUCUUGGACAGCAGGAGGGCUGGCCCCAACCCCAAUCUGAGCUUGCUUGAUCCUAGCCGGCUUCCUGCCAAGAGCUCAGCCCCCUGCUCCCCCAGAGCUCGGGUCUCUCCUGCCUGACUUGGAGGCAGCAUGGAGCAGUACAGAAGGGCUUAUACACAGGCUCUCUUCUAUGUGGCCCAGUUUCCUUAUCUAUGAAAUGGAGGUAAUACUAUCUCCUCCUAAGGUUGAAUGAAAUCAUCUAUGUCAAGUGCUCAGCACAGGGCAUGUCUCCUGAGGUGGGGGAGGGGGAAGCUCCCAUCUGCCUGUAUCCCUCAAGACUGCACUUAGACCACCCUCCCUGCAGAGCCUUGGAGAGUCACUUGGAUUUGUAAGCUCCUUGGAUGCUGUACACUGCCAGGUCCAGGGUCACGUCUGAAACCAAGCCAGUUUCUUCAGUCCACAUCCUAUCAUCCAAGGGGGCAGGGUUCUACUUUUCCUCCUGACAACCUUGGCUGAGAUCCCAGCAUGCCCACUCCUGUUGCCACACUUCAGCACAGGACCACUCAACAGAAUUUUCUGGGGUGAUGGAACUGUUCUAGAUCUGUGCUGCCCAAAAUGGAAGCCAGUGGCCACGAGUGGCUAUUGAGAAGUUGAAAUGUGGUAAGUAUGACUAAGGAAUAGAAAUUUAUAACCAUUUUUUCAUUGUUUCUUUAUUUAUUUUGACAGAGAGAGAGCAUGAGCAGGGGUGGGGCAGAGAGAGAAGGAGAGAGAAAAUCCCAAGCAGGCUCCCUACCAUCAGUGCAGAGCUCAACGCAGGGCUAGAACGCAUGAACCAUGAGAUCAUGACCUGAGCUGAAACCAAGAAUUGGACGCUUAGCUGACUGAGCCACCCAGGCACCCAUAACUAUUUUUAAUUAAUUUUAAUUUAAAUCGCCACAUGUGGCUGUGGCUAAUGACUAUCAUAUUGGACGGUGCAGGUGUAAUGCACGUACAACCAGGUGCUCUCCCUGUGUCUCUGCUGCCAGACAGCACUUCACCUCACGUAGCGUUGCUUAGCCACUCACGGUCAAGUCCAGCCCCACAAGUAACUCACCACACACCCACUGGUUCCUAUAGAUGAGCCUGUAUUUGCGUCGAGUGCAUCUGCCUCUGCCCGGAGAAACCCACCUCCCAGGUACAACCCUUUCAGGGGUCACUGGAAGGUGAAGAGGAAACAGACAAGCAACCCAGCAGUGGGACUGCAGCAGCCAGAGCUGGGAAGGGGUGUAUAUAAUUACAUAUCCCAGAGCCGGAGAGGAUUAGAAGUGCUACAGAAGUGAAUGUCAGGCAACAUGAUAUUCCACAGGUGUGAAAGUAGCAUUUCUAUAGGGUUGGCCAACACUCUCUAAAUCAAAAAUAUCUGCUGCCGAAGGAAAAAAAAUAAUAAAGGUGAAGUGAAUCAUAAACUAGAAUAAAAUGGGAUAGGAAAGAUCAUAUAGGGUAGUCAAGCCCGUAGACCAUACCUACAAACCUGACUGCCCAUACACUGCCCUAAAAGUUAGAUCCAUUAUCAAAGAAACAUGUGAUUUAAGUCAAAAAGACACUGGAAAGAAGCAAAAUAGAUUUUACAGGUGAGGAAACUGAGGCUUCAAAAGUUUAUUUACUCAAGUUCAGGCAGUUUAUAAGACUUUAAACCAAAUAAUGAUACCAGGGAGCUGUGUAUCACUUCAUCUUCAGUGACCCGGGAUUCACAAGAGGGGUGAGCAAGCACAUAGCAGAAGAGGUUGUUUUAAUGACCCAGACAUCAAGCAAACACGGAAAGGAACAAAAAUCAAAGCAGUUUCAGUACCUACCUAAUGCAUGUAUGGGAUCCAAGAGCAGAAAUGGGAAUGGGGAUCUGAUUUAAGGAUCAAGAAGAUGGGUUGAGUUUUGAUGUGUUAACUGUAUGCUGCAGUGAGAUAACCAAGUGAAAAUGAUCAAAAGUCAACUGGAGGGAGGCCUGGGUGGCUCAGUCACUUAAGGAUCCCAGUCUUGAUUUGAUCUCACCGUUUAUGAGUUCAAGCCCCACAUCAGGCUCUGUGCUGAUGAUACCCAGCUUGCUUGGGAUCGUCUCUCUCUUUCUCUCUCUCUCGGCCCCUCCCCUGCCCAUACGUGUGUGCUCUCUCUCUCUCAAAGUAAAUAAAUAAAUUUUUAUAAAAAGUCAACUAGAGAUACAGGAUUAAAACUGUGGAGAGUUUAAGGCUGGGGAUAAAAAUAUAAAUUGGGCGACUGUUGCAAAGUGAACAAAAUCUCAAAAGAAUAGAACAUUAAGAGAAAGCAGCAAUACCCAAAGUAUCACCAGACAGAAGACAUGGACAGAAUACAGACAUUAAUUGUACAGCAGGUGUCACUUCGCCAGGAGUUGCGCCAGUCAUCAUUACACCUAACCACCCACACAACAAACUUGUUGGAGAAGAGAUAUGAGCGCAAACAUUUGUCGUUUGCCUCCCAACAUCUAUUUUCUCUUUCUCUAACAACACCCAACAGCUCCACUAUGGGGUGCGCUCCUCCCACGUUCAGUCGAAGGCAUCCAGGGCAGCUCCGUUUCCGCAAGUGUGGAUCAUGUGAUCUAGCCUAAGCCAAUCAGCGCCUCUCACUCCCUUACGCUUAGUGAUUGGUUCAGUCACAGGUGCAAGACCCAAUCAGCUUCAGGGAGACCCAGUGAGGCUGCGGGGAAUGCUGGGACAGAGGCGGACAGGCUUUCCUUGGGACGACAAAGCGGAGGUGUGUAAGGUAUGGACCACCUACAGGCAGCUCGCUACCACCUGAAGUCUGAGGAUGGAGUCAAAACUGGAGAAUCAAAAGGGGGCAAAAGAAAUCGGGUCCUGGGAUGGCCUUUUAGUCACUAAUAGAAAUAUGCCUAAAAGGGGAAUCUGCAGCCUUUCCACUUACUGUGAGCCACUAAAUUCUGUUUGGGAUGAAUUCCCUCACCUUUGCAACAGAAGGAUUCCGGCCUGAUGCAGAAAUGAUCCCUGUUUUCUAGCUGAGGUAAACAAGGCUCCAAAAGAUCAGCUAAGUUGUACAAGUUUACAGGUUUAUUAAUAACCAACCCAAGAUCCGGAGUCACUUCUUCACUUCAGCUUGCUAAAAGGAGCUGCUGGGGGAACACAAACUGGGUUUGUAACUGACUACAACGUGACAAACGUGAAAAGACAAAGACACACCAGAAAGACAGGCAUGAAGCAAAAGAGUGGAGAACACUGGAAAUGGCUCAAGAUUCAGUGUAACAAGAUUCAGUGAUUUACAUACAUUAACUCAUCUCAUGGUCACAACCACCCGUGAUUUAGGUACAAUUCAUAGUCCCAUUUACCCUGGAGAAACCAGAUCGUAAGAGGUUAAGUGACUUGCCAAAUUCACAUAAAUUUUGUGAGGUAGAAUUAAGAUUCGAAUGCAGUAUGUGGCACUUGACCACCAGGCUUUACUUCCACUCAAGUCCAUCCGUGUUUGACUUAGAACCUACCUGUCUUAUGUGGGCUAUAAUAAAAAACGUGUUAGAGACAGGAAUGUAAGUAGGUAUGGCCUUUGGAGGCAACUCAGCAGUAUCUGUCAAAAUUUUAAACACUCGCCCCUUGUAAUCUGGCAAUUCCAUUUUUUGGCAUCCAUCCUAGCGGAGAACUUGCAGAUAUGGACGACAAGACACACACAGAACACUCGAGCAGCACUGCUUUUGAAAGAGGGAAACUGAAAAGAGUCUAAAUGUCCAUCGACACUAGACUUCUUAAAAUAAUUCUGGCAUAUCCACGCAAUGGAUUACCGUCAAGUCAUUAUAAAGAACAAGGUCAAUUUCUACGUGUGGUAUGGGAAAUUCUCUAAGGUACAGGGUUACGCAAAAAAGGGCAAAUUGCAGAAUGCUACGUACAGAAUGAGGCAGGUAUUUAAACAUUUAGGUUUCAAACAACAUAAAACAAAACAGUACUUUUGUACAUGAAGCAAGGCUCCGUGGCAAUUAGCUGUGGGGAUUUCUGGGUUUAAUGAUGGUUAAUGAUGGUCCCAAGAGACUCCUAAGAGGCCAGGUAGUAGAUGUUACAAUUAGUCACCAGGAGCAAAGAGAGUCACUGGCAUGCUUGGAGCAUAGGAAAAUGCCCCCCUGUAUCCAAGAUGCUAGAGAUACUAGAAGAAUGUCCUGCAAGAUAUCAUGGAGGCAAAUCAAGAAGGACUUCUGGAGAUGUGGCAUGGAAUACGACAUAAUGAUAACCCCCACCCUGGCCUUUUCUCCUGACUAUUCAAAAGGUUGUCCUCAUCCUACAGAGAGCUGCCCCAAUAGUCAUUUAAAGUCACCCAGCCAGUUAGGAACUGAGGUGGCCCCAGACACCGGAUGGAUGUCCUGGGUUAAGUCCAGAGAUGUUCCAUUCUCAAUGUGGUCAACUCUGGAUCGUUGAUCUUUCAGUUGCUUUCCAAGUGUUUUCAAAGAGUGUCUUGAUCUCCAGGCACAAACUGUACAAACAAACUAGGGACAGGUCACCAGACUCCAGAGCUCCCCCAAGACAGGCCCAAAGAGAGCACAUGUGUUGUUCUGCAUGCUCACCUAAAGUUCUUCAUGGGCUUUUUAUUUAAAUUCUGGGUCUUUUUCUCCAUUCUGUCUCAUUGCACCUGCCCACCUAUAAAUAUACGUAUUUUUUUAAUUCUGCCCUUUCUCCCAUGCCAUCGCAUCACGCUCAUACAUUCUGUCAUUUGGUCAGUCUGCUGCGCUUUGUAUACCUUGCUUUUGCCUGCCCUAAACUUGAAUGGCCCAAGGACGUUAGCCCGGAGGAGAGCCUGAUUACUGCGGGGAUGCUGCCCUCUGCAGGCCACUGCCAUGCAUGGCCCUUUAAGAGGGAAGCCUGACCAGAAUUCAGGCAGGUAACAACAGCUACUAUGUUUUGACUCUUUUACAUGGAUUAUGUCAUUUAAUUCUCACAACAGCCCCAUGAGAUUAAGAACUACUAUGCCUUCUGUUUAUCAGAGGAGAAUACUGAAUUCCAAAGAACGGUAACUUGUCCAAGACCACACAGCUAACAAGCAGCAGAAAUGAGAUUCGAACCCAAGUGCCCUGUGCCCGGGAUCUGUCCUGCUCGCCCCUAUUUUAUACUGACUCCAAAAAAGGGAUGUUAACUCACUUUUUAAGGAAGUGAACCAUGGCAGCCAUCU